AUUGAACGCUGGCGGCAUGCUUUACACAUGCAAGUCGAACGGCAGCGCGGGCUUCGGCCUGGCGGCGAGUGGCGAACGGGUGAGUAAUGCAUCGGAACGUGCCCAGUAGUGGGGAUAGCCCGGCGAAAGCCGGAUUAAUACCGCAUACGACCUGAGGGUGAAAGCGGGGGACCGAAAGGCCUCGCGCUAUUGGAGCGGGCGAUGUCGGAUUAGCUAGUUGGUGGGGUAAAGGCUUACCAAGGCGAGGAUCCGUAGCUGGUUUGAGAGGGAGACCCGCCACAAUGGGACUGAGACACGGCCCAGACCCCUACGGGAGGGAGCAGUGGGGAAUUUUUGACCAUGGGGGCAACCCUGAUCCAGCCAUGCCGCGUGCGGGAAGAAGGCCUUCGGGUUGUAAACCGCUUUUGUUCGGGAAGAAAUCCUCUGGGCUAAUACCCCGGGGGGAUGACGGUACCGGAAGAAUAAGCACCGGCUAACUACGUG
rnacentral:rRNA from 1 species